rnacentral:rRNA from 1 species
UACGUAGGGGGCUAGCGUUGUCCGGAAUCAUUGGGCGUAAAGCGCGCGUAGGCGGCCCGGUAAGUCCACUGUAAAAGUCAAAGGCUCAACCUUUGAAUGUCAGUGGAUACUGCCAGGCUAGAGUCCGGAAGAGGCGAGUGGAACUCCUGGUGUAGCGGUGGAAUGCGCAGAUAUCAGGAAGAACACCGACGGCGAAGGCAGCUCGCUGGGACGGUACUGACGCUGAGGCGCGAAAGCGUGGGGAGCGAACAGG